CAUGGAAUAAAAGUAGAUAUUUACAUUCUUUAAUAAACUUAAACCAAUUUCAUGUCCUACAACUCAUUUCAACCUAAUACCCUUGUCAUGCUAUUUAUCACACCAAAAACAGAGUAAAAGAACCAGAAAUGAACCUUAGAUAAGCAAAUUAUCGAUUAAUAAAGUGAUUCCGGCAAUUACACGGACAGAAGAAAACCACAAAUUCGAUCAAAAUUUGAAGCAGCGGUCAACUCGAUCGGAACCCUGAAUCUGCCUAGAAACCUCAGAAUACGACCUUCAACGAACUAGGAACUCGUCGGAAAACUUGAAUUAAACCAGAACAACCUUUCAUUUCAUUUCGCUUCUCAGCUUUGGUAUUUUGGCUUUCUGUCGUUCCUUUUUUUUUUUUUUUUUGCUUUGAUCGAGUCCCUAUUGUGUGUCUCUUAGGAGAUUAAAUUUUGGUUCCUU
rnacentral:lncRNA from 1 species